CCUACGGGUGGCAGCAGUGAGGAAUAUUGGUCAAUGGUCGGGAGACUGAACCAGCCAAGCCGCGUGAGGGAUGAAGGUACAGAGUAUCGUAAACCUCUUUUGUCAGGGAACAAAGGCGGGGACGUGUCCCCGGAUGAGUGUACCUGAAGAAAAAGCAUCGGCUAACUCCGUUCCAGCAGCCGCGGUAAUACGGAGGAUGGGAGCGUUAUCCGGAUUUAUUGGGUUUAAAGGGUGCGCAGGCGGACUGUUAAGUCAGCGGUAAAAGCCCGGGGCUCAACCCCGGCCCGCCGUUGAAACUGGCAGUCUCGAGUUGGAGAGAAGUAUGCGGAAUGCGCGGUGUAGCGGUGAAAUGCAUAGAUAUCGCGCAGAACUCCGAUUGCGAAGGCAGCAUGCCGGCUCCACACUGACGCUGAGGCACGAAAGCGUGGGUAUCGAACAGGAUUAGAUACCCCAGUAGUC
rnacentral:rRNA from 1 species